AGAAUCAACGCUGGCGGCGUGCCUAACACAUGCAAGUCGAACGCGAAAGGGGAGCAAUCCCUGAGUAGAGUGGCAAACGGGUGAGUAACACGUGGGUGACCUGCCUUCGAGUGGGGGAUAACGUCCCGAAAGGGACGCUAAUACCGCAUGACAUCCUGUCCUUGGAUGGACGGAGAUCAAAGCUGGGGAUUCGCAAGAACCUGGCGCUUGAAGAGGGGCCCGCGCCUGAUUAGCUAGUUGGUGGGUAAUGGCCUACAAGGCUACGAUC
rnacentral:rRNA from 1 species